UACGUAGGGCGCAAGCGUUGUCCGGAAUUAUUGGGCGUAAAGAGCUCGUAGGCGGCCAGUUGCGUCCGCUGUGAAAUCCCGGGGCUUAACCCCGGGCGUGCAGUGGAUACGGGCUGGCUAGAGGCAGGCAGGGGAGAACGGAAUUCCCGGUGUAGCGGUGAAAUGCGCAGAUAUCGGGAGGAACACCUGUGGCGAAAGCGGCGCACUGGACCACAACUGACGCUGAGGCGCGAAAGCUAGGGGAGCAAACAGG
rnacentral:rRNA from 1 species